rnacentral:rRNA from 1 species
UACGUAGGGUGCAAGCGUUAAUCGGAAUUACUGGGCGUAAAGCGUGCGCAGGCGGUUUCGUAAGUCUGUCGUGAAAUCCCCGGGCUUAACCUGGGAAUGGCGAUGGAGACUGCGAGGCUAGAGUUUGGCAGAGGGGGGUAGAAUUCCACGUGUAGCAGUGAAAUGCGUAGAUAUCUGGAGGAACACCGGUGGCGAAGGCGGCAUUCUGGACCGACAUUGACGCUGAGGAGCGAAAGCCAGGGGAGCAAACGGG